CUACGGGGCGCUGCAGUGGGGAAUAUUGCACAAUGGAGGAAACUCUGAUGCAGCAACGCCGCGUGGAGGAUGACACUUUUCGGAGCGUAAACUCCUUUUAUAUAGGAAGAAGAUGACGGUACUAUAUGAAUAAGCGCCGGCUAACUCCGUGCCAGCAGCCGCGGUAAUACGGAGGGCGCAAGCGUUACUCGGAAUCACUGGGCGUAAAGAGCGUGUAGGCGGAUUAAAAAGUCAGAAGUGAAAUCCUAUAGCUUAACUAUAGAACUGCUUCUGAAACUCUUAAUCUAGAAUAUGGGAGAGGUAGAUGGAACUUCUGGUGUAGGGGUAAUAUCCGUAGAGAUCAGAAGGAAUACCGAUUGCGAAGGCGAUCUACUAGAACAUUAUUGACGCUGAGACGCGAAAGCGUGGGGAGCAAACAGGAUUAGAUACCCGCGUAGUC
rnacentral:rRNA from 1 species